rnacentral:rRNA from 1 species
GCUAAACUUCUAGCUACACAGUAUUAUAAACCAAUUUACCUCCCCUUCCCACCCAUUAAAACAUUUUAUUAAUUAAGUAAAGGCGAUAGAAAAAUUACUUCGAGCAAUAACAACAGUACCGCAAGGGAACGAUGAAAUAAAACUGAAAUAAAUAUUAAGCACAAAAAAGUAGAGCUUUACCCUCGUACCUUUUGCAUCAUGGUUUAACUAGUUUAACUAGGCAAAAGGACUUUUAGUCUAACUUCCCGAACCUAGGUGAGCUACUCUAAGACAGCUUUAUGAGCCAACCCGUCUCUGUCACAAAAGAGUGGGAUGAUCUUAUAGUAGCGGCGAUAAACCAACCGAACCUAGUGAUAGCUGGUUGCUUUAUAAAAGGAUCUUAGUCCAACUUAAAGUUACUACCUAAUCAUUAAAUAUAACUUUAAAGCAAGUCAAAUAAGGCUCAGCCUAUUUGAAAAAGGAUACAACCUUCCCCAUUGGGUUCUUAUAUGUGUUAAAAAUAAAGUAGGCUUAAAAGCAGCCACCUUGAACAAAAGCGUCACAGCUUCCCUUUAACAUCCCUAUAAUCUCAACAUUUUCCCCCAACCCCUCAGCCCCAAAAAGCAACUCUAUAUUAUUAUAGAAGAUUUUAUGUUAAAACUAGUAACAAGAAGAAGACCUUCUCUUAAAUGCACCUAUAUGUCAACACGGACCCACCAUUGAUAAUUAACGCCCAUAAAAUUAAAGUAAAAACAUCUCAAGAAAACCCUACUAAAAUUAACGUUAACCUAACACAAGGGCAUUAAAAGAAAGAUUUAAAUAUAAAGAAGGAACUCGGCAAAAAUUAGCCUCGCCUGUUUACCAAAAACAUCGCCUUCUGACCAACCAUAGAAGGUCAAGCCUGCCCAGUGACAUUGUUCAACGGCCGCGGUAUCCUAACCGCGCGAAGGUAGCGUAAUCACUUGUUCUUUAAAUGAGGACUAGUAUGAACGGCUUCACGAAAGCUAUACUGUCUCCUUUAUACAAUCAGUUAAACUAAUCUCCCCGUGAAGAAGCGGGGAUAUUCCUAUAAGACGAGAAGACCCUAUGGAGCUUUAAACUCUUUAGACAUUUGAAAUACACAAAUUUUUUGAAAACUUCACUAAACCAAUCAUUUUGUCUUAAGUUUUAGGUUGGGGUGACCACGGAAGAAAAACUAACAUCCACGUGGAAUGAAACUCUUUUCUAAGCAAAAAGAUACAUCUUUAUGCAUCAACACAUUGACCUAAAUUGACCCAAUUGCUUGAUCAACGAACCAAGUUACCCUAGGGAUAACAGCGCAAUCCGCUUUAAGAGCUCCUAUCGACAAGCGGGCUUACGACCUCGAUGUUGGAUCAGGGCAUCCUAGUGGUGCAGCAGCUACUAACGGUUCGUUUGUUCAACGAUUAAAGCCCUACGUGAUCUGAGUUCAGACCGGAGUAAUCCAGGUCAGUUUCUAUCUAUAAAGUGUUUUUUCUAGUACGAAAGGACCAAAAAAACAUGGCCAAUGCCCUCAAAUAUAUGCCAUCCGACCCCAAUUAUGUUUAAAACUUAAUAAUUAAGACCCUCUCACUUACUUUAAGACUAAAAUUAU